GACGAACGCUGGCGGCGUGCCUAAUACAUGCAAGUCGAACGAGAGCGACCGGUGCUUGCACUGGUCAAUCUAGUGGCGAACGGGUGAGUAACACGUGGGUAACCUCCCCAUCAGAGGGGGAUAACAUCCGGAAACGGAUGCUAAAACCGCAUAGGUCUUCGAGCCGCAUGGCUUGAAGAGGAAAAGCGGCGCAAGCUUCUGCUGAUGGAUGUACCCGCGGUGCAUUAGCUAGUUGGUGAGGUAACGGCUCACCAAGGCCGUGAUGCAUAGCCGACCUGUGAGGGUGAUCGGCCACAUUGGGACUGAGACACGGCCCAAACUCCUACGGGAGGCAGCAGUAGGGAAUCUUCCGCAAUGGACGCAAGUCUGACGGAGCAACGCCGCGUGAGUGAAGAAGGUUUUCGGAUCGUAAAACUCUGUUGUUAGAGAAGAACAAGUGCUAGAGUAACUGUUAGCGCCUUGACGGUAUCUAACCAGAAAGCCACGGCUAACUACGUG
rnacentral:rRNA from 1 species